AUGCCUCGACGAACUGUACAAGAGCGUGGAGAGCCUCGGCGAAUGUCACUUCCAAGCCAAGCAUGCAAGGGGAUGCUUCUUGCGCCGCUCAACGCCGCAGAAGCACAUUGCCACCGGCUUCAAGUGAAAGUUGACGACAGCAAGAGCAACCCAUGUAUCGUUGCAAAAAUGGAAUGUGCGGCAAUCUAUCGUUUCGCUGCGCCCCUGAUGCUGUUUGCAGUUGUGGAAAUGUUGUCCAGUACAUUGGGGAAUGGACAACUCAGAAUCCUCGUGUUGAUGUUGAGGAUGGGGUUUUUGGCAUUAGUGGCUCCAAGUUCAUCAUAA
rnacentral:rRNA from 1 species